rnacentral:rRNA from 1 species
UAAAGCUACAAAGAGCUAAUGGGGAAUGCCUUGGUACUGACAGCCGACGAAGGACGUGUAAAGCUGCGAUAAGCCACGGGGAACUGCUAAAAGGUCUUGAUCCGUGGAAAUCCGAAUGGGGAAACCCUCCAGAGUUAAAACUUUGGAACCCGUAACUGAAUACAUAGGUUGCGCGGAGGAAAGCCUGUGAACUGAAACAUCUUAGUAACAGGACGAAGAGAAAAUAAACCAAUGAUUCCGAGAGUAGCGGCGAGCGAAAUUGGAAGAGCCUAAAUUGUGUGUACGUGAUAGCCUGCAAGCGUUGUGCACAUGAGGUUGUGGGACUUGCAUCAUAUUUUGCAGAAUAUGGAUUGAGUUAGAAAAUUAUUUAUUAGUUAAAGUCAACUGGGAAGUUGCGCCAUAGAGAGUGAUAGCCUCGUAAACGACAAUAAAUAAUCUCAAGUAAGUAUCCCGAGUAAGGCGGGGCACGUGAAACCCUGUCUGAAUCCACCGGGACCAUCCGGUAAGGCUAAAUACUAGUCAGUGACCGAUAGUGAACGAGUACAGUGAUGGAAAGGCGAAAAGAACAGUGAGAAGCUGAGUGAAAUAGACCCUGAAACCGUUAGCUUACAACCAGUCAGAGCACAAUUAAUUGUGUGAUGGCGUGCCUGUUGAAGAAUGAGCCGGCGAGUUAUUUUUUGUUGCGAGGUUAAGGAGAUCAUAUCCGGAGCCACAGGGAAACCGAGUCUGAAUAGGGCGUUAAGUAACAGGAAAUAGACCCGAACCUUGGUGAUCUAACCUUGACCAGGAUGAAGCGUGGGUAACACUACGUGGAGGUCCGAACCAACCGAUGUUGAAAAAUCGGUGGAUGAGUUGAGGUUAGGGGUGAAAUGCCAAUCGAACCAAGAGCUAGCUGGUUCUCCCCGAAAUGCGUUUAGGCACAGCGUUGGAUUUAUCUUGCAGGAGGUAGAGCACUGGUUUUGUGCGGGCGUCGAAAUGAUGUACCAAACAAUGUCAAACUCCGAAUACCUGUAAUGUCAUUAUCCAGCAGUGAGGCUAUGAGUGAUAAGAUCCAUGGCCAAGAGGGAAACAGCCCAGAACGCCAGUUAAGGUCCCUAAUAUAUGCUAAGUGGUUAAGGAGGUAGAGUUACUGAGACAACCAGGAGGUUGGCUUAGAAGCAGCCAUCCCUUGAAAGAGUGCGUAAUAGCUCACUGGUCAAGUGACUCCGCGCCGAAAAUACACCGGGACUAAAGCAUAUAACCGAAGCUGCGUCAUAUAGUUUACUAUAUGGGUAGGGGAGCGUACUGUAGUAAGACGAAGCUAGAGUGAAAACACUAGUGGAUGAGGCAGUAGUGAGAAUGUCGGCAUAAGUAGCGAAAACAUUGGUGAGAAUCCAAUGCACCGAAAACCUAAGGUUUCCCACGGCAGGCUCGUCCGCGUGGGGUUAGUCGGAUCCUAAGCUCAGGCCAAACGGCGUAGGCGAUGGACAAUAGGUUGAUAUUCCUAUACUAUCUGAUAAUCGUUAUCAGAAGCGGAGGGACGCAAGAGGAUAAGCACGCAGUCGAAUGGAAGAGACUGUAUAAGCGUGUAGCUAGGUUUGACAGGAAAAUCCGUCAAAUCGUUAAUGUGAGGCGUGAUGUGGAGAGUCUACGGACUCGAAGGUGUUGACUCCAAAUUGCCAAGAAAAUCUUCGCUCUCGAGAUUAUUGGGUAUCCGUACCGUAAACCGCCACAGGUAGGUUGGUAGAAAAUACUAAGGUGCGCGAGACAACUCUCGCUAAGGAACUCGGCAAAAUCACCUCGUAACUUCGGGAGAAGAGGUACCCUGGUAGCGUGAAGCGAUUUACUCGUGAAGCGUGAUAGGGUCGCAGUGAAUAGGCCCAAGCGACUGUUUACCAAAAACACAGGUCUCUGCUAAGUCGAUCAAGACGAUGUAUAGGGGCUGACGCCUGCCCGGUGUCGGAAGGUUACGCGGAAAUGUUAGAAGCAAUUCAAAGCAUCGAAGCUAAGCCCCGAUGAACGGCGGCCGUAACUAUAACGGUCCUAAGGUAGCGAAAUUCCUUGUCAGGUAAGUUCUGACCCGCACGAAUGGCGUAA